GCGUGAUGCGUAGCCCUUGCUUGGGUGAUGUUGGUGAUCCUGGACUGCCGAGAAAAGCCUCUAGCGAUGUGCGUAUACGGCCCGUACCCAUAACCGACACAGGUGGUCAGGUAGAGAAUACUAAAGCGGUCGGGUGAACUGUGGUUAAGGAAUUCGGCAAAAUGCCCCCGUAACUUCGGGAGAAGGGGGGCCCCAACCUUGAGCACCACGUGCUGGUGUGAGGGGAUCGGGGCCGCAGAGACCAGGGGGAAGCGACUGUUUAUCAAAAACACAGGUCCGUGCGAAGACG
rnacentral:rRNA from 1 species